AUCGCCAUCGGACGCGAUGACUUGCAGACCUCACCUGGGCACCUUGGUCUGCGACGAGCGAGUGGUGCGACCGGCUGUGAA
rnacentral:ncRNA from 1 species